rnacentral:lncRNA from 1 species
AGUCUUCAAGUGGUUGAGUCUAGUCUGAAAAUCACCGUAACUUUUUGCCAAAUGUCUUCUUUAGGCUAGAAUCCUUAUCUUGUUUCAUAAUUAUAUCUGUCAAUGCUGUCUAAAGAGUCUCCUCCAUCAGUACAACCUUCUGGAUUAUCAUCUUCUUCUGAAUUAUUGUCUUCAAAAUUAUCCAAGUCUUUUUCUUGUUCAAUUUUCUUUUUUCCUUUAUUUUUCUUUUUAAUCUGUAUUUUCUUUUUCUUUGUAGUACUUUGUUUAACUUGUUGCUGUAUUUCUUCAAUCUUAUCAAACAUUUCUUUGAUUCUUCUAAUAUCUGAUUGAGAAAUCUGUUCUGGAUCUUGAGCUGAUUGAAAUGAUUCCGGAAAAUUGAUUGGGCUUUUCUGUUUAAG